CUUUUAUUUAUUUUUCCUACGUUUUUUUUGUGGUCGUAAUAUUUUUUGACAUUGAAUAUCCUGUUAAUCAAUAUACUUUCACUUGUAUGAAGAAGCCCAUAAAUUUUAUCUAAAUGGACUUUCUUCAUCUAAACGAGAUGUGGCAAGUACUUGGCCAUGGGAUAUGACAGACUGAUCGAAAAAAGUUAGGAUUUAGACGUUAAACUGCAUAUAAUUAACCCAGAAUAACUGUGUGAUUUUAAUACUUUUUACAUAGUCAAAUAUUUAACACGAAUAAACAGGCAUUUUACUACUCGAAAGCAAACUUAUAAUGGCAUGUGUAUGCCCCUGCUGAUUAAAUCUAUUCAUCGUGAACAGCAAAUCGAAUUAAUCGAUCGCAGUUCAGCACGACAAUGAACCUGUGUCUCUGGAAACGGCGCAGGGAACGAUGUUAUCUAAAUUAAACGGAAGUUUAAGGAACUUGGAAGGCGUUAUUAGCGUACCAACACGUUUCAAAACGCGGCACGCGUGCAAAAUUAUUCGACUAAACGCGUCUUCUUUCAUUGUUCGUUUUCUCCUUGCCGCGAUAAAUUAAUUCAUCCUCCGCGAGUUUCGGUUUUAAUUAUCUUCGUGUAUGCACUUGCACGAUGGCGUAAUUAUUUCUUGAUUUUUUCUUUCUCUCUUCCUUUGUUUUCUUGCCAGGGUUGUUGUUCUCCGGCUGCAUACUACGAAAAUUACAUCAACGUUCUCAUAAUCCGCCGCUAGAUCGUUCUAAGGCUCGUUUAAUUAUACAGAAUAUUUCAGAAAGAAGAAAAGUUGAGUUUGAAGCGAUAUAUUAACUUAAA